rnacentral:rRNA from 1 species
GAUGAACGCUGGCGGCGUGCCUAAUGCAUGCAAGUCGAGCGAACAGAUGAGGAGCUUGCUCCUCUGACGUUAGCGGCGGACGGGUGAGUAGCACGUGGAUAACCUACCUAUAAGACUGGGAUAACUUCGGGAAACCGGAGCUAAUACCGGAUAAUAUAUUGAACCGCAUGGUUCAAUAGUGAAAGACGGUUUUGCUGUCACUUAUAGAUGGAUCCGCGCCGCAUUAGCUAGUUGGUAAGGUAACGGCUUACCAAGGCGACGAUGCGUAGCCGACCUGAGAGGGUGAUCGGCCACACUGGAACUGAGACACGGUCCAGACUCCUACGGGAGGCAGCAGUAGGGAAUCUUCCGCAAUGGGCGAAAGCCUGACGGAGCAACGCCGCGUGAGUGAUGAAGGUCUUCGGAUCGUAAAACUCUGUUAUUAGGGAAGAACAAAUGUGUAAGUAACUAUGCACGUCUUGACGGUACCUAAUCAGAAAGCCACGGCUAACUACGUG